CUGUGGUGAUAUUCAGGUGUAGAUUUCAGCAAAAGGCGAUUUGCACUUUAUCACACGUGGUGAUAUUCAGGUGUAGAUUUCAGCAAAAGGCGAUUUGCACUUUAUCACACGUGGUGAUAUUCAGGUGUAGAUUUCAGCUUUUGUGAGAGAGUUUUAUGACGUUGAUUCUCGCAGAGUUUUUUUACUUUUACCGGAAAUGGCGCCUGUUGGUUGUAGACAUUCUGGUGCCAGUCUUACAGUUGUGCGUGCAUGAAUGGCUUUGGUUGUCAGGAAAAUCACAGAGCCAGUGCAAUGUAGGCAAUCUCUUCACUACACUUCAGCCAGACAGCUGAGGAAGUUGACGCUUUUCAAAAUAUAAGGGCAGGACAUACGUGGAUUUGAUGGACACUUCUCAAGGCCAGUGGAGAUACUUGUUAAACAGAUAGCCUGAUUAAACAUCUUUUCAUUGGCCAUUUCAUUGCACACUUCAAACAGUAGGAAGAGGUAAUUCGGCGCAUUCCGUCUAUGGUAAAAAGUCAAAAUUGGAAAAGUGGAGUUACGUGUUUUUCAUCGGACAGCGACGAUAUGCCUUCAGAAGACUUGGAAUAUGAUGCACAAGUCACAUGGAAUACACUCUAAAAAAAGAUGGUUCUUGAAAGUUUCUUUACUGACUUUAAUAGUUAUAUUUAGAACCAUAUCUUCCUGAAGAACCCUUUUGAAAAUAACUGUCAAUAAAUUAUUUCCAAGCCACCACAUGAUUGGUUGACUCGCAGCGCUGGAGUUCUGGCAGGCAGCUCGACCAACCAAUUUCACAGACUGUCAACACACUCUUCACAGGUUAUGCGACUGAUGGACCUCUAAAUAAUAAUCACAGAACGGAUGAAACUAUGCCUGUUAUCUGACAACAGAUCAUUUUGUCAAUGCUUUAUAAAGGCAGCAGCACAACAAAUGGAUCUCUACCAGAACAUGCAAGUGAAACCAACUCAAGAGGUAUCCACCCCACCAGCGGUACAAGCCAUUGUCUUCUUUGAUAACAGCAUAUGCCUGCAUUAAAUGUAUUAGAUUAUCAAACUUCUCUACUAAGCCUACAGACUCUGUUGGACCCCACAACCUCAUUACCUGCAGAGAGGGACUGCCACUCAAUUACACCAAAAUACACAGUAAUGGAUAGUGAAGACAUCAUAGAGGACUUGGCAGAUAUUUUUGUGAAUUUAGCCUUCAUUACAUCUAUUUUGUAUUUUUAUGGGACUGCUCAACCUUAAAAGGAUAAUUCACCCAAAAAUGAACAUUUUCUCAUUUAAUCACCCUCGUGCCAUCCCAGAUGUUUAUGAAUUUAUUUAUUC